UUUGGCAAGUUUUAAGAAAAUGUGAAUCAUGCAACAAUGCAGGCCUGCUUUUUUCUUUCAGGGAAUGAUUGUAAAGAUUUACAAAGAAUAUGUUUACAGCAUUUACUGUCUAACUGGGAAGUUUUGGGAUCGAUUUGUGGGGAUUGCUAUGGACGAAAUACACACUGAUACACUGAAUGUACCUGUGGAGUGGCCAGACCUUCCUACACAGCACUGUGGAGAUAGGUCCGGCCAUGUGAGACAUAAUUGUGAAUACACUCCAUUAUAAGACUGUGCCACGCCUUUUUUUUGGAGCAGCAUCCUUGGUCCAAAAGUCAAUAAAUCGAAUAACCUCUUGUGUUUGAUAUUUAUAAUAUGAACAUCUGGAAGACCAAGUGAGAGGCAACUCUGUUGGAACACCAAAUAUAGCAUGCUGUUCAUCCACAAUACCAGACAAACAGCUUUGUACACUAACUUUACAUUUUAUUGUUACAUUUAUUAGUAGUUAGAGCAGUGAGAUUGCUCAUAUAUAGCAUUUAGCAUCAUGAAAGGGAAUAACACAUUAAAACUGUAUCUUUUGUGAUCUCUGAGAGUGCAAAUUGAGUGGAAUAAACCUUUAACGUCAGUA